GAAAAAGUUUUACAAUAGACAGCUACACAUCUCCCGUAUCACCUGGUACAUGCAGAGAUAGUAAUUGCUUGUUACAUGACAGAGCAAACCAGUUAUCAUUUUAUAGUUCUGCAGAAAAAUACAUUAGGAAAUAGGUGACGUAUACUCUUACGAUAAAAGUAAUGUUUUAUAGGAUAGCAAUUUUUCUAUUUGUUCUGUUUUUCCAGGCUUGUACCACAGCCAAUAUCUCUGCUUGGCAACUCUAAUGAACAAAUUGCCACAAAAGUGAGACAGAACACACCUUUUUGGACCUGUCUCAAAAUCAGAUUUGCAAAGAGAAGAGAACCAACGUCUCCUAGAGCAUGUCAGAAGUGCUAGAAGCAGGAGCUUUAGCAUGAGUGUACAGACCUGAAUUAUGCAACCUACUAGUGUUUACAUGUGACAUGUUGACAGAGGUUGACACUUGGUGAGUACCAUGUAGUUGUCAGCUGGCAUUAGGACUUGCAGUUCAUUCUGCAGUCAAAAUAAAGGAAGAAUGGCAAGGUCCAUAUUU
rnacentral:lncRNA from 1 species